UACGAAGGUCCCAAGCGUUAUCCGGAUUUAUUGGGUUUAAAGGGUGCGUAGGCGGGCUAUUAAGUCAGUGGUGAAAUCUCCGAGCCUAACUCGGAAACUGCCAUUGAUACUGAUGGUCUUGAGUACAUUUGAGGUGGGCGGAAUGUGUCAUGUAGCGGUGAAAUGCUUAGAUAUGACACAGAACACCGAUUGCGAAGGCAGCUCACUAAACUGUAACUGACGCUGAGGCACGAAAGCGUGGGGAUCAAACAGG
rnacentral:rRNA from 1 species